ACGAGUAUGGGGACGGCGUAUAUCCGUCUCAAAGAACCAUUCAAAGCUGAAACAAUCAAUCGCGACAAGGUUCACUUCUCCCUCUCCAAAAUGGUCCGAUGGAAAGCCUCAGAAACCAGGCACGUGAAAGCUUGAGACUCGCCAAUCAUAAUAAUGAAAACAUGUUUCUUACUUGAGAGUUGAGACACUCCUUUAUCGAUUCUUCUUGGGUUGUCUCUUGGGUUAAUUAUAUUACCUACCUCUCUUUACAGCAA